AGUAAUACCGUAUACGCCCUUUGGGGGAAAGAAUUAAUCGGAGAAGGAUCGGCCCGCGUUGGAUUAGGUAGUUGGUGGGGUAAUGGCCCACCAAGCCGACGAUCCAUAGCUGGUUUGAGAGGAUGAUCAGCCACACUGGGACUGAGACACGGCCCAGACUCCUACGGGAGGCAGCAGUGGGGAAUCUUAGACAAUGGGGGCAACCCUGAUCUAGCCAUGCCGCGUGAGUGAUGAAGGCCUUAGGGUUGUAAAGCUCUUUCAGCUGGGAAGAUAAUGACGGUACCAGCAGAAGAAGCCCCGGCUAACUCCGUGCCAACAGCCGCGGUAAUACGGAGGGGGCUAGCGUUGUUCGGAAUUACUGGGCGUAAAGCGCACGUAGGCGGACUGGAAAGUCAGAGGUGAAAUCCCAGGGCUCAACCUUGGAACUGCCUUUGAAACUAUCAGUCUGGAGUUCGAGAGAGGUGAGUGGAAUUCCGAGUGUAGAGGUGAAAUUCGUAGAUAU
rnacentral:rRNA from 1 species